rnacentral:rRNA from 1 species
UACGGGGGGGGCAAGCGUUGUUCGGAAUUACUGGGCGUAAAGGGCUCGUAGGUGGCCAACUAAGUCAGACGUGAAAUCCCUCAGCUUAACUGGGGAACUGCGUCUGAUACUGGAUGGCUUGAGUUUGGGAGAGGGAUGCGGAAUUCCUGGUGUAGCGGUGAAAUGCGCAGAUAUCAGGAGGAACACCGGUGGCGAAGGCGAGUCUCUGGGCAAUAACUGACGCUGAGGAGCGAAAGCGUGGGGAGCGAACAGG